AAGUCGUAACAAGGUUUCCGUAGGUGAACCUGCGGAAGGAUCAUUACAUAAUCAAAUAAUAAUAUUGUGGUGGAGCCGUUAAAAAGCCUCAUCCAAUAUCUAUUUUAAACACUUGUGAACCCGUUCGAGUUGUGUUGCGUAUCGUCAAUACCUAUUGGCGAUGCGCUCGCAGCGAAGGACACCCCAUUAAACCAUUUGCACAACUAUCAUGACUUAAUCUAAGAUUUUCUAAUUGAAAUACAACUUUUAACAAUGGAUCUCUUGGCUCUU
rnacentral:misc_RNA from 1 species